UUGUACACGUACUUUUCCUUUGGUGGUGGUGGAGAGUGGUAAACCGGAGGAGGAGAGUAGUGCUUAACCGGAGGAGGAGGGGACUUGUAUACGUAAUGUUUCUUUGGUGGUGGUGGGGAAUGGUAGACUGGAGGGGGAGAGUAGUGCUUAACCGGAGGAGGAGGGGACUUGUAUACGUAAUGUUUCUUUGGUGGUGGUGGGGAAUGGUAAACUGGAGGGGGAGAGUAGUGCUUCACCGGUGGUGGUGGAGAUUUGUACACGUAGUGUUUCUUUGGUGGGGGUGGGGAAUGGUAAACCGGAGGAGGAGAGUAGUGCUUAACUGGAGGAGGAGGAGAUUUGUACACGUAGUGUUUCUUUGGUGGUGGUGGGGAAUGGUAAACCGGAGGAGGAGAGUAGUGCUUAACCGGAGGAGGAGGAGAUUUGUACACGUAGUGUUUCUUUGGGGGUGGUGGGGAAUGGUAAACCGGAGGAGGUGAGUAGUGCUUCACCGGUGGUGGUGGAGAUUUGUAGACGUAAUGCUUUUUAGGUGGGGGUGGGGAAUGGUAAACCGGAGGGGGAGAGUAGUGCUUAACCGGAGGAGGAGGAGACUUGUAAACGUAAUGUUUUUUUGGUGGUGGUGGUGAGUGGUAAACCGGAGGGGGAGAGUAGUGCUUAACCGGAGGAGGAGGAGACUUGUAUACGUAAUGUUUCUUUGGUGGUGGUGGUGAGUGGUAAACCGGUGGGGGAGAGUAGUGCUUGACUGGAGGAGGGGGAGAUUUGUACACGUAGUGCUUCUUGGGUGGUGGUGGAGAGUGGUAAACCGGAGGAGGAGAGUAGUGCUUAACCGGAGGAGGGGGAGAUUUGUAAACGUAGUGCUUCUUUGGUGGUGGUGGGGAGUGAUAAACCGGUGGGGGAGAGUAGUGCUUGACCGGAGGAGGAGGAGAUUUGUACACGUAGUGUUUCUUUGGUGGGGGUGGGGAAUGGUAAACCGGAGGAGGUGAGUAGUGCUUAACCGGUGGAGGUGGAGAUUUGUAUUCGUAGUGCUUCUUAGGUGGUGGUGGGGAGUGGUAUACCGGUGGAGGAGAGUAGUGUUUAACCGGAGGAGUGUAAU
rnacentral:lncRNA from 1 species